CCUUGUUUCCUAGGCGUCCUGUACCUGUCUGGGUUUUUUCGCAUCUUUUAUUUAUUUUAAUUUAUUUUAUUAAAUUUCUAUACCGCCCUUCUCCCGAAGGACUCAGAGCGGUGUACAGCCAGAAAUAAAACGAUGACAGUAGAAAAAUUAAAAACAAGUUAAAAACAAUUAAAUCAAUUGGCCGAAAAUUCUAAUAAAACAACUCAUUAAAAUAGUAAAAAUAUUAUUAUUAUUUAGGCCAGUCCUGGCCUAAUCUUCCUCUUCUGCGCUCCUCCACUUGCACUUCUGGGAGAAGGAGUGAGGGCAGCCCCCCCCACACACACACACAACGAGGCAGCAUACAAAUACUACACACACAAAAUCCCAUAGCACACGCUGCUGGAGAAAGAUUCCCUGAGGAUGGGCUCCAACACCAGUCCAAAAGUUCAGAAGACAACCUCCAGCCUCGGUCAACAUGCUUUCUCUGGCUGGUGGUGAAAGUGGUGAUUGCUUUUAACCAUCAAUUUUUAUUUUAUCCAAGAAAGGGUUAAAAUGCAAAACUCCCAAGACAUAAAAAAAUAACAAAUGAAACAAUCAAGACAUUAUGCGUGGUUUUUAUUUUAUUCAAGAAAAGGUUAAAAUGCAAAACUCCAAGACAUAAAAAAUAACAAAAAAAUAAAACAAUCAAGACAUUAUGCACCUUAAUUCCAGGCUCAUUUAACAGUAGUAAGGUAACGACUGCCCAUAAUGGAAAAGCUGACCCUCUGAUAGACAGGCAGAAGGUAUUUAGAGGAAGUGUCACAUAAAAUUCAAUAUAUUAUAGUACUCAAAAAUUGAGAUAUGGUGUCUGGUGGUUUUAAUCUUUAUAAUCUGAUCUGAUUAGAUUAUUGUAACUAGUUAGUUACAAUUGUAGUAACUAGUUGUAUCAAGAGGAAACAGAAAACAAGACAUUAAAAAAAAGGUGUAUUAAAAAAAGACCAACACAAUAUGCACAUAUUAUCCUCCCCUGGUUCCAAUGUCAUAAUAAUGUACUCAUUCCAAUAGACAGUUCAUUUUAGAAUUAAUCUGUUUUCAUACUUCAUUUAAUAAGUUUUUAAAACAUGUUACCACAUAUACAGAAUUUUGUCCAAAUUGUAAAAUUGAUUUGGAAGCAUCUGCUUUGAAAAACAGAGAUAGAAGUGCAAUCCAGUCACCUGCCACAGAGAUUUUACAUUAAAAUAGACAGAUAUCCAGCAUUAAUGAAAUUACCAAAGAGCAUAUGGAGCUCAACCACAAACCAGAAAUGCCAAAAAAAGCAGGCAAUUUGUACAGAAGAAGUUGGUGAAACAAAAGCUGCAAAUUUAAUUCUGGAAGAGGAAUCUACUGAAAAAAUCAAGACCAGCCCACCAGAAUUAAAUAACAAGUCAAAUGAAGAUGAGGUACAGAAAAACACAGAAGAUGCUAAUAAACAGCUGGAAUCAGAAGAAAAAGAUCAACCUAGUGUAUCUCCAUCAAAUGAUGGAUUUAAAAAGGUUUUAAAAUUAGUUGGAUUUAAAUUUACAAUUAAAAAGGAUAAAACAGAGAAACUGAACCUGUUCACCUACUAGAUGAGGUCACAGAGGUCACAGAAGGGUCAGGUGAUGUGGCUGGAGACUAUAAACUAUUCAAGACAGAGACAGUGGGAGAAGCAACACGAAGUGAAAUUACUGCUUCUAUAGAGAAAACUGAGGAAGAAACUCAGGCUGAGGAGAUGGAAUGAGAAACCUCCUCUGAGAAAGGAAAGGAAAACCCUGUUUAAACAGAAAGCAAAGAGGCAGAAAUUAAAAACAGUGGGAUUAACUCUCCAAAAUCUCCAGUAAACCCAUCAACUGCUGAAGCUGCAUUACUUCUAAGAAAGUUUUUUACUCAGAGUUGGGCUGGGUUUAGAAAAAGGAUAAGCUUCAGAAAACAUAAGAACAAUGUCAGAAAGAAAAACAAGAAUAACAAAUAGAGAAAGGUGUGACAACAGUAGAAAUAAUUGUUGAAAAAGAAUUAGAAAAAGAAAAACUGACGCCAGAAAAAGAUGGGACAGGAGAUAUUAAAGGAAAUGAUGAGGAACGAAAAACAGAAGAAAGUUCAGAUGAGCCCAAGAAAAAUGUUGAUACUUGUGUAUCAUGGGAAACUUUAAUCUAUGUGGGCUCAUCAAAGAGAAGCAGAAAAACUUAAUUUUCUGAUGAAGAAGCCAGAUGAAGACUUGCUCAAAAUGAAUAAAAAUCAAAUGAUGUGUAGCAAAUACUGAAGCAGUACCAGAGGCGGUAUUCAGCCAGUAAUAACGAACUGGUAACGAUUAUACGCAGUUCGGCAAACUGGCAAAUGCCACCACUGGCUGGCCCCACUCCGCCUCUUCCACUCCUUUUUGCACCUUGCCUGCCUAGAGUCACGCCCUUGGCAUAGCUGCUGCUGCUCUCUGGUUCCCUCGCUUGCCUUGACCACACCGCCCAACUAAUCUCUGCCUGGUGAGUCUUCCUUCUCUUCUCCCCAGCUAGCUCCUCCAUGGGCCAGCCAUGCUUGCCUGCCUUCCCUGUGGCCUUCCCGGCAGUCCCUGUGUCCAGGCCCACUUGCUUGCCUUCCCUACUCCCUUCCACGUGGCCCGUGUGUGAGGGAAGGAAGCCGCUUCUUUUCUUUGGCUGCUGUUCGCCUUUCCCUCCUGCUGGCAGCUCCCUUUCUCAUUUCCCUAUUGAGUGCAGCGCCCAGGAUCCUCUUUGAUAACGUGCAUGCCUAAGGUCUCCCCCCUUGCAGCCUGGAGCUGUGACGAAGGAGAGGAAAACAUCGGGAGAGGCUUGGGGCUGAGAAAAACAAGCAUUGCAAAAAAGAGAGAGUUUUAGUUAGUUUGCAGCUUACCAUCACAGAAGUUUGAGUGCGUGUGUGUGUUGAAUGAUGUGAGUGAUGUCAAGUUGGCCACGCCCACCCAAUCACAUGAUCAUCCAGUCACAUGACCACCCAGCCACGCCCACAGAACUGGUUGUUAGAAAAUUUGAAUCCCAACACUGAACAGUACAUUAUAUCAUCUUUACCAGCUCACUGAAGAAACAAUGUUGUGACUGAGGCCCAAGUAGUGAUUACCAAACACAAUUCAGUCCUCAACAAACUUAUUUUUUUAAAACAGCUGAGAAUUAAUUCAUUCUCAGCUUAGUCCAAAACAAAAUUCUUAAUAACCAGUCCAUCGGCCUUAUCACCAACCUUUGAUGUCUUUGGCAACUUGCCAAAGGAUUUUCUUGGCAAAACCCCCACAAAGUUCAAGAGACGCUGACAAGAAGCACGGGAAUCAACGUUGCUUUUCUACAAAGAACCCCACGGUUCGUUGCUGCUCUUUUAAGCCUUAUGGGAAUGGCCAAUCAUCUUCUGGCCUUACUCCCGAGUUGUCCUUUUUUCUUCAGCUGCUCUUGCCUUCUGGCAGCUCUUCACAUGCGUGCACUAGGAACAGGCUCCUCCUGUUCCUCUGCCUCUCUGCUUUCCACCUCUGGAGGUUUCUGAGUCCGCUCAUCACUCCCAGAUGGCCCUGGCCCCAUCUCUGCCUCUGACGCAGAGCCUUCGUCCGGACAUUUCCCUGACUCCAGGACUGGCCAUUGUCCUCCCCAGCCUCCUUACUGUCUGGUCUGCCAGGUCCGCAGAUUGCUGGCGGACCACAACAAACAACUGAAAUGUGUGCUGAAGAGACAAUUGCAAUUGUGUUUAGAAUUUUCAUAUAGAGAAAAAUCAUGAAAUUCAGCCAACAACUGUAAAUGCAAUUUAUAAAAUUCAGCCAACAACUUAUAAAUAGUAGUUUCUUUUACCAUAUAUUUAAUUCAACCGUUCUGUUUCAGUUAUUAUCUUCAUUGAUACAGAACCCAGUGGAAUCCAGGUACCCAAAGAUCAGUCCGUCAUUUUGGUGUAAUAAGGAAAUCUUUUGCACCUUUUUCAGUUUUAAAGGCAUCAGUGAGGGAAGACACAAGCGAUAAUAAGCCCUGCCUCCUCAUCAGAAACAAUAGUUGUUGCCAAAGGGAAGAAGAGGCCAUAUCAGCAAGUAGUUUCUUCCUGGCCAGAAUGGCGAUCAUAGCUUGAACCUGCCAAACAGUAUUCCUCUAGAAAUUCAAUUUGAUCUCUUUGCUUCCACAUUUCUGUUUGAGUAAUGAAAAGCCUGAUCUUUUCUCCAUCACAUUGACCUCAUCAAAAUAUUUAAAAAAUUGUCAGUCUGUUCAACUAUGCCCGAACAAAAAUUAGCUGCUUCAUUCCAAUUUAUGUACAUUUAAAAAAAUCUAAACAAUGAAAACUUGCAUAUGCUGUUAUGUGCUUUUUCUUAGACAUGACAGAAGAGCAUAAUAAAACAAUUUGUUCACUCCA